rnacentral:rRNA from 1 species
UGGGGAAUUUUGGACAAUGGGCGAAAGCCUGAUCCAGCCAUGCCGCGUGUCUGAAGAAGGCCUUCGGGUUGUAAAGGACUUUUGUCAGGGAGGAAAUCCCUAGCGCUAAUACCGCUGGGGGAUGACAGUACCUGAAGAAUAAGCACCGGCUAACUACGUGCCAGCAGCCGCGGUAAUACGUAGGGUGCGAGCGUUAAUCGGAAUUACUGGGCGUAAAGCGUGCGCAGGCGGUUUGAUAAGCCAGAUGUGAAAUCCCCGAGCUCAACUUGGGAACUGCGUUUGGAACUGUCAGACUAGAGUGCGUCAGAGGGGGGUGGAAUUCCGCGUGUAGCAGUGAAAUGCGUAGAGAUGCGGAGGAACACCGAUGGCGAAGGCAGCCCCCUGGGAUGACACUGACGCUCAUGCACGAAAGCGUGGGGAGCAAACAGGAUUAGAUACCCUGGUAGUCCACGCCCUAAACGAUGUCAAUUAGCUGUUGGGGGUUAGAAUCCCUGGUAGCGUAGCUAACGCGUGAAAUUGACCGCCUGGGGAGUACGGCCGCAAGGUUA